CCCGACAGCACUAUCUCGAUCACUCCAGCCGGGCCAGCAGGUGGGACUUCAUGCCCGGACACGGGGGGGCAGUGGACACCGGGGGUCUAGGAUGAAGGGCUGUUCUCCGGCACCACGCGGCGGCACAGCGGCUCGGUGUGACUCCCCAUCCGGGCGGGCGCGCUCUCCUCCGGCACGGACUGUUACCAAGUCAUUUACCGGCCGACGGUCCGCUUUGCCUCCGGAAGAACGGCUGUUUUUGGGGGUCGAGGCCCUAAACACGACACGAAUAAGCCCGACGGAACUUGUGUUCGCGGGGGUCUCGGCAGAUUAGCGAGCCGGGAAGCGUCACCUGUGCUGAGCGGCGGUCGCAGCUUCUCAGUUCUUGAGCUAUUUUCUGGGACGUCGUCGAUAAAUCCUCAGUAAAUCCCCUCAACGAGACCUCCGGACACCGCAGGGCGCCGGUCCGAGCCGCGGCUUGCUCCAACUUGUCCCCCGUAACGGCGCGGGCACAGACUGCUCGGUCUUCUGGUAGUCUCGUGCGAAAAGCUGCCGCUGCUGCUGCUGCUGCCGUGUGGCUGCCCGUGACCGCCUCGGCUGGCUCCGGCGCGCACACGUACGUGCGCGAGCUCGUUUCCCCGGCGUGUGACGCGCGCCGCAGUGUCCUCCCCAGCAAGCCGGUCGCCCCGGCAACGCUUUCCUCUGACCUCAAUAUGGUCGCUUUUGUGCUGUUGAAGAAAAAAAGAACAGAAAAAAGGAUGCGUCGCGUUCGCGUCAGUUUUAUCGCGAUGACAGAAAGCGCUCAAGUCCAGCGGCGGUGGAAACAGCCGGACAGAUCUGCAUCACCAUGACGUCAGGCGAUAUUAAAGGGAUACUCGCCCAUUUUUCCCCCCUCAUACAUUCUUCCAGGCCGCAUAUCUCCUUAACCUCCGUCCCUUUAUCAUUCAGCCAACCAGCUUAAGAGCUCCUCCAUUGAUAUUUAACUCAUACGCUUCCCUCCAUCCUAUGUGGUUUACCCUUUCAACUCAGAGAACAUGUAAAUCUCUAUUCCUGCCUGCGUGGCUAAUCCCUAUAGGAGGCUCAACAUAUUGGGUAAAUAUCACAGCAGUAUUUCUAGGGCCAAACAGGGUAUUAAAUGAGCUUAAUAGUGAUACCACAGGAGAUAAAACAUGAUAUAAUAUACAAAAACAUUGGGAUAUGUACUCACUAAUCAGCAAUACGUGGU
ensembl:lncRNA